rnacentral:rRNA from 1 species
GGCGAACGGGUGAGUAACACGUGGGUGAUCUGCCCUGCACUUCGGGAUAAACUUGGGAAACUGGGUCUAAUACCGGAUAGGAGCCAUCUUUAGUGUGGUGGUUGGAAAGUUUUUCGGUGUAGGAUGAGCUCGCGGCCUAUCAGCUUGUUGGUGGGGUAAUGGCCUACCAAGGCGGCGACGGGUAGCCGGCCUGAGAGGGUGUACGGCCACAUUGGGACUGAGAUACGGCCCAG